GGUGGUGGUGGGAGUGGUAAUCUCUUUUAUGUUUCUGGUGAUAUCUGUGAGUGGGAUUGGAGCUAACUGGGGGACACAAACCAGCCACCCACUCUCACCCACCACAGUGGUUCAGAUGCUGAAGGAUAAUGGGUUCCAAAAAGCUAAGAUUUUUGAUGCUGAGGAGGGGACUAUGAGUGCCUUGAAGAAGAGUGGGCUUGAGGUGAUGGUCGGCAUUCCGAACGAUAUGUUGGCGACGCUCGCGACGAGCUCCAAGGCGGCCGCAGAUUGGGUGUCCAAGAAUGUUUCUUCAUACAUAAGUGAUGGUGUCAAUAUCAGGUACGUUGCAGUGGGGAAUGAGCCAUUCUUGCAGACGUACAAUGGGAGCUUUCUCCAAACCACUUUUCCGUCCCUCCAGAACAUCCAAAGGGCCCUCAUAAAAGCUGGUUUAAGCAGCCAGGUCAAAGCGACUGUUCCCCUCAAUGCUGAUGUCUACCAGUCCCCCUCUGGCCGCCCCUCCGAUGGCGACUUCCGCACCGACAUCCACGACCUCAUGCUCGCCAUCGUCAAGUUCCUGAGUGACAACGCCGCCCCCUUCACCGUCAACAUCUACCCUUUCAUCAGCCUCUAUUCGGAUCCCAACUUUCCCGUCGACUAUGCCUUCUUCGAUGGGAAUGCAUCUCCCGUCGUAGACGGCUCGACCACAUACACCAAUAUGUUCGACGCAAACCAUGACACCCUGGUCUGGGCUUUGAAGAAGAACGGGUUUGCGAAUCUACCAGUAAUCAUCGGUGAGAUCGGUUGGCCGACUGAUGGGGACGUAAAUGCGAACAUCCAAUACGCGCAGAGAUUCAAUCAGGGUUUCAUGAACCACAUCUCGACGGGCCAAGGGACACCGAUGCGGCCCGGACCGAUCGAUGCAUACUUGUUUAGCUUGAUCGAUGAGGAUGAGAAGAGCAUACAACCCGGGAAUUUCGAGCGGCACUGGGGUAUCUUCACUUACGAUGGGUUGCCCAAGUACCAGCUCAAUCUCGCUGGGACAACGGCGAAUUCUAGAGGUCUAGUUCGCGCGAAGAAUGUGAAGUACUUAGACAAGAAGUGGUGCGUGCUGAAGCCAUCGGCAAAUCUUGAUGACUCGAGGAUCGCACCGAGCAUAAGCUAUGCAUGCGGGAAUGCCGACUGCACGUGCCUGGGGUUCAAGACCUCGUGUGGUAAUUUGGAUGCGAGAGGGAACAUCUCUUACGCUUUCAACAACUACUACCAGAAGAACGAUCAGGAUGACGUGGCAUGUGGGUUCUCUAACCUCGCCACGAUCACAAACAUGGACCCGACCACCGGGACUUGCAGGUUUGGGAUCAUGAUCGAGGUCGACUCGGGGUUCUCUUGGAAAAUGCGGCAGAUCAGAAAGAGGGAAGCUGCUUUACCACUGCUUGUGUUUCUCCAACUGUUCUUGACAUUGUUUUAACCAUUAAAUCCUUUUUUGCUUUCGAUUGGUAUGUAAUUGGGCUUUGGUGAAAAUCAAAAAGCCGCAGGAUCGGUCUUAAAAGCACUUCUUCACGGGAAAACCCAUGGGAUGCAUGCAGCUGGAGUGCUCAGAUAUAAGCAAUUAAACUGAAGAUUUGAUGCUGCUUUGAGUAAUCAUAAGAAUGUGGAAGCAGACAGCUAACUGUAACAGUGAAUGGACUAUUCAGAUUAGAAAAACAAUAUGGAGGGGAAGGUUCUAUACAUAUACAGAGAAAGGCAAGAAGAGGAAGGAAGAGCCACAACGGUCAGGCAUGAGGAAUUGGAGCUCCACUUCCACCUGGAUUAGCAUAUGGUGCCGGAUCAACAUUCCCAUAAUCAUCUUCACGUAGCAUCAAGGAAUUUUCGCAUUGUCGCAUCCUGGCCGUUCCAUCCUUUAAUCCUUUAGUAAAAGGGGCAUUCUCGUGAAAUGCUUCUGGUUCUUGUUUACAUCCGAAGGUUGACGAUGUCGACGACACUGGCAGAAUAAAUAGCCAUGACAACAACAACAGCACUAGUAGAAGUGAUCUCAUGGGCGGCAACUUUACUGCGCAGGUAA